CUCGAGAUGAACUCCCAAAUCCCUAACCCUAACUUUGAAGAUUCUUCAACUGUGAUGAUUAAUGGCAAAGGAGAUCAAUCAGAGCUCGAGAUUACUGGUCAUGGAGGUUCCGAUUUGGACAUGGUAGAUGUAGCGAAUGGAGAUAGAGAAUCAAAUCCCCUGAUGCAUCAAAUCCCUGCUAUUGGAAUGAAUGAAAGUGCAACAAAUCAGGUGACUUCAUUGGAUGCAAGCUUAAGGAAGGGACCGUAAGGAAUGCUGAAUAAGGAGAAAGCCUGGCUUUAUUGGAGGCAGUUCAAUGGGCACAGGAAAAAGAAUUGGUGAAAGUUUGCUUUAUUAGUGAUGUUAAAUUAGUGAUUGAGUCCCUGAACUCAAAUUCCAACCAGUUAUUCUGGUAUAAUAAAACAGUCAUGGAUGACUGUAAAACUUUUCUUUCUAGUUUUCAAUUUUCUCAAUUUAAUUUCUUAAAACGACAUCACAUUAUUCUAGCUGAUCAAGCAUCCAAGUUUUGUAAGAGGUCUAGAACCUCAGGGGAAUGGUGGGGAAAUGUCUCAGCUUUCCUUAAUCCUCCAAUGUAAUAGUACCUCUUUUUAAUGAAAAUUUUCUUAGAAAAAAUAAAAAAAAAUUAUGUCGUCUUUUGUAUGAA